rnacentral:rRNA from 1 species
UUGCCCCAGUAACGGCGAGUGAAGCGGCAACAGCUCAAAUUUGAAAUCUGGCCCCAGGCCCGAGUUGUAAUUUGCAGAGGAUGCUUUUGGCGCGGUGCCUUCCGAGUUCCCUGGAACGGGACGCCAUAGAGGGUGAGAGCCCCGUACGGUUGGACACCAAGCCUUUGUAAAGCUCCUUCGACGAGUCGAGUAGUUUGGGAAUGCUGCUCUAAAUGGGAGGUACAUUUCUUCUAAAGCUAAAUAUUGGCCAGAGACCGAUAGCGCACAAGUAGAGUGAUCGAAAGAUGAAAAGCACUUUGAAAAGAGGGUUAAACAGCACGUGAAAUUGUUAAAAGGGAAGCGCUUGUGACCAGACUUGCGUCCGGUGAAUCACCCAGCUCUCGCGGCUGGGGCACUUCGCCGGCACAGGCCAGCAUCAGCUUGCCGUCGGGGACAAAAGCUUCAGGAACGUGGCUCCUCUCGGGGAGUGUUAUAGCCUGUUGCACAAUACCCUUCGGCGGGCUGAGGUACGCGCUCCGCAAGGAUGCUGGCGUAAUGGUCAUCAGCGACCCG